GGGUCAGCAGAGGAUCAGGAUGGAAGGACACAGACCGUAAGAAAUGGAGCUAUUAACUUAAGGCCACUCGGGAGAUUUCCUCAAGAAGAUCGAGAUCCUAAGCCAUUUUCUCUAUCUUCACCAUUCUCAUGACCAAAUUUGUGGCCACUCUGUUUUUUGUUUUUCUAAUUACAGAAGGAAAAUGCACUCAAACCUCAACAGGGUAUGGACAUUUGGGGGCAAAUAUGGCUGGUAAAGUGAGUCCUUCUGAAAAACAGGGAAGGCGAAAUAGGCAACUAUGAACUCUAAAAUCAUGUACGUAUGUUCAAGGGGGUAAAGAAGAAACUACAAAAAUUAUGUACUCUUGUGGAAGAGAAGGGGCAGGGUAAGGAAGUGAGAGGUUGAUGGGGAGGAAAACGCGACUGGGGGCGGGGGUGGCCGGGACCCGUGUACAUUACCUGCUCAUACUGCCGGGGCUGGUGCCAGGAAGGCCCAUAUAUCAGAGGAGAGAGAUUUCUGACAACUGGAGCCCGGAAAAUGGAGAGGAGGACACAAAGAAGGAAGAAGAUCAACCUGGCCUUGGAUCUAUUUUUGAAGAUCUUACUGCCACUAAUGCUAAGGACACACAAUCCCCACUCAAACAAGCAAUACUGUUUUCCCAUUCAUUGAGGCUCGAAACCUCAAAGGCGCCUCUGAAACCUCUUCUUGUAUCCACCGUUAAGUCAUUUGCAAAGUCCCAUUGACUAUCCUGUAAAUAUAUCAUAGAUUUUGGAGCUGGCAAAGACUUGCCAAUCAUAUCAAGUCAGUCCUCCUGCACUGAUGAGAAAACUGAGGUUUAGAGCUGAGUGAUUCAAUUAUGAAACAAAAUGGCAAAGUCAGAAUUUCAUGUAUCUCACUCCUCUACUUCUGCUGCCACUUCUUUAUUUAUACAGUUGCUUGUGUAAGAGAAAGAAGCUUCAUAAUUGAUCUCUCCCCCUACUAAUCCUUUCUGCUACCAGAUUAAUUUCCUAAAACACAGAACGGCCAAAUCAGUCCCUUGCUUGAAAACUUUCAAAGGUUCCCUGUUACUUAAAACAUAAUUCCUAAGACCAUAUUUUGCCUUCCCAGACUUAUUUCCUACUCUUCUACAGAUACACAGACAUGCUGGCCAAAAAAGACAACUUGAUAUUGUCAUAUAUUUUUUCUCAUCUAAGCCUAGCUAAUACUGUUGCCUUCAAAUUAUGUCAUCCUUAUUCCAUUUCUAUGCCUUAUCAGAAUCUUACUUACCUUUUAAGAUCUAUAUCAAAUGCCUCAUUAUCUCACCAUUUAUUGAGUAUACAAUAAACGGAGUAAUACGGUAGUAUUAGAGAACCA
rnacentral:lncRNA from 1 species